rnacentral:rRNA from 1 species
AGAACGAACGCUGGCGGCAUGCCUAAUACAUGCAAGUCGAACGAACACUUCGGUGUUAGUGGCGCACGGGUGCGUAACGCGUGGGAAUCUGCCCUUGGGUUCGGAAUAACAGUUGGAAACGACUGCUAAUACCGGAUGAUAUCGAAAGAUCAAAGAUUUAUCGCCCAGGGAUGAGCCCGCGUAGGAUUAGCUAGUUGGUGAGGUAAAGGCUCACCAAGGCGACGAUCCUUAGCUGGUCUGAGAGGAUGAUCAGCCACACUGGGACUGAGACACGGCCCAGACUCCUACGGGAGGCAGCAGUAGGGAAUAUUGACAAUGGGCGCAAGCCUGAUCAGCAAUGCCGCGUGAGUGAUGAAGGCCUUAGGGUUGUAAAGCACUUUAAGG